UUUCCGUAGGUGAACCUGCGGAAGGAUCAUUACCGAGUUAGGGUUCGUCCCACGAGCCCGACCUCCCAACCCUUUGUCUACUCUACCUUGUUGCUUCGGCGGACCGGUCUCGACCAAAACUGGUCGUCGCCGCCGGGGGGGCCAACCCUGGAGAGCGUCCGCCGAUGGCCCAACCAUAAACUCUUGUACCAAACCACGUCUUCUGAAUUUUCUUGAUUAUAAUUCAAAAACAAAACUUUCAACAACGGAUCUCUUGGUUCUG
rnacentral:misc_RNA from 1 species